rnacentral:pre_miRNA from 1 species
CAUGCACCAGUGGGGUCCCUCAGUCUGGCCUGUGGGAUCGGACUGAAACUGGCUCUCCUACAUCCCCCGAGGGGUCCCGGAUUGUGAGAGGGCAUAGGCCAGGCUGAGGGACCCCACCGGUGCACG